rnacentral:lncRNA from 1 species
GUUGAAGCUCUCUCGUCUAUUAGUCAUUCCUGCAUGUUUUCUGCCAAUUACAUCCAGAUGAAUCCCUUUUUUUCAUCCUGGAAUAGAUGAGCAGUCACGCAGAUGAGUUCCCUUUGAAUGAACAUAGCACUCGGUAGGGAACAAUUCAAUGGUGUGACGCUCUUUUUCAGGAAUGCAGAGCUACGUUUCACCUCUGUUUACCGUUUUUGGGACUCAAGAGACUCCAAAGUGCAAUCAGUGAGCACCUUGGUGGCACAGCCGAGCUGAAGCCUGAAGAGCUCCAGGUGGACAUUUGCAGACACCUUGCCAAAGAGAAUGCAGAGCUACUGGAGAAAUUGUACCAAAUCACCAUCACGUACUUCUAUAGCAGCUGGGAAGAGAUCCGGGCAGUUGCAGCCAACUUAGCUGGCAUCAUCCUGGAACACACAGACAGGCAGCGUAUGAAAUGGCUGGACCU